AUGCCGGGGGCCCCAACUUGUGUUUUAGGGCUCUUGGUCCCUUUGGGCAUGACCUACAUCUCGGCUCCUCACCUGCUGUGUUGGGCUGUGGGCGGUCGCGGGGGUCCCAGUUUUGCUGGCGAACCCGGCUGCGGUGGGAUGUACACGCUGGGUGCGUGGCACGGUGACACCCCAAGGCAAGCAGCGGGCUGUGACACGAGAGGUGGCCCUGGCACUGCGUGUCCGGGGCUGUGCAGAGCUUCUCCUGCCCGGGGCACACAUUUAUCCAUCCACCCGUGUGACCUCUGCCGGCACGGAUCUGCCAGGGCCUCCGGGCUCUUCCCAUGGCGUGGCCGAACGCUGGGCCUGAUGCUCCUGGGGGGGCUGGGGGGCACAGCCCUGUCCCACUUCUGCCGGGGUGCGCGGGUUUUGGCUGCCCAUUUGAGCAUCCCUCGGAGGUGGCGGUGGGUCUGGCUCCAUGGGUUUGCCCCAUGUGUCCCCUCCGUCCUCAGGGCGGCUCCAGCUGGGGGACAAUUCCCUUGCAGAGGAGCUGACCCUCUUUCCUGGGACAAGUCCUGGCUGGAGGGGCUCCUCUGGGGGUGUUCGGGCUGUUUCUGGCCAAAAUUAGGUUGCUUAAAUAGUCUCGUAGCACAUGGGACAGCCGCCAGUCGUGGGAGCAGCCGGAGGCUUGGGGAGAGGAUCAGGUGGAUGCAGGCAGGGCUCAGCGACAGAAGCGGCUUUAAAAAAAACGCAGUUUGCUUCAGGGGGAAACUUCCUUCGAGAGUGCAACAGGCCAGUGCCACCCUGUCCCCAGAGGAGUCACUCUGGGCAGAGGUGAAGCUGGGAGCCAGCCCCGCUGCUGCUGGCAGAGUCCAGCCUCAGUGCCUGGAAACUCGCCGCUUUCCAAGAACAGGAGCUGUCAGCCCUGCAAACUUCCAGCCUGAGGGAUGCUUCCCCGGGGAGGGCUUUCGUUGCUCUCCCCAAGCCGCUUGUGAUGCAUCGCUGGCAUCUUCUGCUGGCGGCGGAGGCCCCGGGGCUGGAGGAGACGCCGAGCCCGGUGGCACGGAGCCGCUAGGUGGCCCUGCCACCCUGCCACCUGGGACGGAGCCACCUCCUUGCCAGGGGACAAACCUGCAGCUCCUGGGCUGGUUGUGGGGCCUGGGGGGAGGUUGGUGUGGGGUGACCCCGCUGGGAGCUGCCAGCAUCAAGCACCUCCGCCGUCAGCUUUGCCCAGCAGGUACCACCCGUGUCCCGGCGUGA
rnacentral:lncRNA from 1 species